rnacentral:sRNA from 1 species
CUACAGUGUUGUGAACAAAGCUCCAGAAAAACCCGAGCUUCUUGUUUCCCAGGCCAACGUCAUUAGACAACCAGGUGUUGUCAAUGAACUCGUCAACAAAGGCAAUCCUUAUAGUGUUUCUAGAGCUGGGUCAUCUAACAAUCCAAUUAUUAGGAAAACAGCCUUAGGAGCUCGAAGACCAGCCAUGCCAAGUAUAGAGAUGUACAGACAAUACAGGCAGUGGAGGGAUCAGCCAAGGAAGAUUCAGGAAGCACAAGCUGCAGGUUGUAAGCUUCCAGUGGAUAGCAGUGCUGCUAGCAUACUUAUGUUUGGUGACUGUAGGAACCCCACAGCCAGAAUGGUGUGUCAGAUGGAAAUGAUGUCAUGUGUCAAUGUAGGGAUGUCAGCAAUGUGUUGUCCAUUUGGCAUGAACAAGUUGGCGAUGGACACCAUCUCUUACGUCAACAAACUACAGCAUUUUGUCUCGGAAGUCGCUUAAGUUGAAACAGUAGAGUCUGGUCAAAGCAAUUAGUUUGUAGUGGGGGGGUUUUUGUUGGACAAACACAAAUAUUAAAAAAAAAAACAACACAAUUGUCUAAUUUGUCUACAAAACAUUUUGUUCGCGGCUCAACGCUCUCUCGUGGAGAAUAGUACAGCAAUUGUAUACACGACCUUUAUGCUCCAUUGGCUAGAUUAAUUUCAUUACUUUGUCAGAAUAUUGUGAGUUAUUUGAAAGAAGGUUUGAUGAGCUAAAUAUACAAAGCACAGAUCUUACCCAUAAAACACAUUAACGCUAACCGCACAUUUGAAGUGGUCCUGAAGUGACACCUACAACUUAAGAGUUCAGGAUCACGAAUCAAGAAUGAUAUUUUCUUCAGUUUCAGACUCCACUAUCAUAUUUCUCACUAGAAUAAAAAGUGACUUCUAGUUGAAGUUUAAAUUUAUGUUCUGCUAAACUAGAUGAAAGAGUGAAUACACUAGGAUUACUAAUGUGUCAAUGUGUUGUUCUGGGUUUUUUUCUUGUACAUUGGAAUUGUUGAGUAUUUUGAUGCUUUAGACUUUUUUUAUUUUUAUACUUUUUCAUAGUUUAAAUGAACAACAAAAUUUAUUAGCCAGUUUUUUAUUCGUUGAUUUGUCUGUCUGUCCGAUUUUCUUCUUUCUCUACAUUUUUGUCUUUCUUUACAUUGGUUUAUUCUUAUUCGUUCUUCAAUGUUCUUGUUCAAACUAAGACUUUUCCUGUCUGCCUCUAGCCUCUCUAGACUUUUCUGCCUCUAGCCUCUCUAGACUUUUCUGUCUGCCUCUAGCCUCUCUAGACUUUCCUGUCUGCCUCUCUCCUUUGUAAAUGUAACGUUAACAUGAAAUGUUGGUAUCGUGUCCCAGAGACAGACUAACCAAUGCAGCAGGACAUUGUCCCAAAGACUGACCAGCCACUGCUGCAGGACAUUGUCCCACGCUGCUAGCAUUCAAGUUGACGACGAAUGACUUAAUGUUUUCUGAUUAGAAGAUUAUUUACAAAAAAAUGCUUGAAGAAAGAAAAUUUUAUUUGACAUAACGUAAUAUUAUUAGCAAUGUAAACAUUAUGACCUAGGCUAAAGAUAUGUUACAUUUUGGGUUAAGGUAAUGCACUUAGUUUAGGUAGAGAUUAAAAGUUAUUUCUUUUAAUUAUAA